ACCGGCGGCUCGAGUUUUGUCCACUAUUACUUUUCUUAAAUCUUUCUUAUCUUUCUUUUUAAUUCUCUUUUUAAAUCUUCCGGCUCAACCGGAAGGCGUCUCAGGGAUACUGGCAGGCUAGGGACCGGAAGAGGUGAGAGGUACUCCAGGGGUAGGAGUGAAAUCCUGUAAUCCUUGUGGGUCCUCCUGUGGAUUAGGUGUAUAAGCGUUUUUUCUGUGGGAUGGAGGAACGAAAGCUGGGGGAGCAAACCG
rnacentral:rRNA from 1 species